AGCUUGCCGGUAUAAAAGCUCACAUCCUAACCUCAUUUUCAUAAGUUUAUCGUCAAUUUCUUUUAAUGCAUGGUUGAAUAUUCGUUUAACAUAAUUUUGUUGGAUGCUGGUUUACCUGGGGGUCGGGUGAUAACAGGGGAAGGAUUGCAAGUUUCCAAACCAUAGCGCGACAUGAGCGCUAAUAAUGC